CGCCAAAAUCGUUUGCAAUUUGCGACCUUGCUUGGGAACUUGGUUCGGAAUUUCAUCACGAAUUUCGAUAAUUUGAUGCGAAACUUCCGAAUUUGAUUGGCCGGUUUCCAAUCAACUUGAUGACCUCGUGUUUAUAGUCCCCAAAUUCCCAACCAACCUCGCAAUUGGCGCGGCCAAAGUUUCGUGAAAUCAACUGUAAAAUUAAGU